GGGAUUGCCCUAGUAACGGCGAGUGAAGCGGCAACAGCUCAAAUUUGAAAUCUGGCCCUAGCGGUCCGAGUUGUAAUUUGUAGAGGAUGCUUUUGGUGAGGUGCCUUCUGAGUUCCCUGGAACGGGACGCCAGAGAGGGUGAGAGCCCCGUACGGUUGGCCACCGAACCUAUAUAUAGCUCCUUCGACGAGUCGAGUAGUUUGGGAAUGCUGCUCUAAAUGGGAGGUAAAUUUCUUCUAAAGCUAAAUACCGGCCAGAGACCGAUAGCGCACAAGUAGAGUGAUCGAAAGAUGAAAAGCACUUUGAAAAGAGGGUUAAAUAGCACGUGAAAUUGUUGAAAGGGAAGCGUUUGCGACCAGACUUUUUCCUGUCGGAUCAUCCGGUGUUCUCACCGGUGCACUUCGGCAGGUUUAGGCCAGCAUCGGUUCUCUUAGGGGGAUAAAGGCCUUGGGAACGUAGCUCUUUAGGGAGUGUUAUAGCCCCUGGCGUAAUACCCUUCGGGGGACCGAGGAUCGCGCUCUGCAAGGAUGCUGGCGUAAUGGUCGUCAACGACCCGUCUUGAAACACGGACCAAGGAGUCGAACAUUUGUGCGAGUGUUUGGGUGUCAAACCCUCACGCGUAAUGAAAGUGAACGGAGGUGAGAGCCUUAGGGCGCAUCAUCGACCGAUCCUGAUGUCUUCGGAUGGAUUUGAGUAAGAGCAUAACUGUUCGGACCCGAAAGAUGGUGAACUAUGCGUGGAUAGGGUGAAGCCAGAGGAAACUCUGGUGGAGGCUCGCAGCGGUUCUGACGUGCAAAUCGAUCGUCAAAUCUGCGCAUGGGGGCGAAAGACUUAUCGAACCAUCUAGUAGCUGGUUACCG
rnacentral:rRNA from 1 species